GUGUCAGCAGCCGCGGUAAUACGUAGGUGGCAAGCGUUGUCCGGAAUUAUUGGGCGUAAAGGGCGCGCAGGCGGUUUCUUAAGUGAGAUGUGAAAUCCCAGGGCUUAACUGUGGGGCGGCAUUGCAAACUGGAUGUCUUGAGUGCAGGAGAGGAAAGCAGAAUUCCUAGUGUAGCGGUGAAAUGCGUAGAGAUUUGGAAGAAAACCAGUGGCGAAGGCGUCUUUCUGGGCUGCAACUGA
rnacentral:rRNA from 1 species